UCAGAGAGGUUUAGGUUACACAGCUGGCUUUCUCGACAGCCCACAUUGAAAGUAUUCGGGGCCAAAUGAAAAGUUGGAGGAGAACAAGAUGGAGACAGGAGAUGAGAAGAAGCCGAAGGAGAUGGUGUCCCAGUGCUGGAGAAUACCGAAGCAGGAAACAAUGGUCAUGGAGAUGGAACAGGGUACCAAGCCAGAACUCGGACCUGAGAGGACCUAGCAAAGGGGCCUGAGUGGUGGAACCUGGGACAUUAAACUGGAGGAGCCUGCCCAGUCUGAGACAUUGGAAUAAGAGGUGGACUUGGAAUAUUUGAAUGUGGGUGUGAAUAAAACCAAACUGGUUAUAAAAUA